AUUGAACGCUAGCGGCAGGCCUAACACAUGCAAGUCGAACGAGUGGCGGACGGGGUCGAACGGUCUGGGAAACUUACCGAUGGAGGGGGAUCAGUAAUGGUAACGGUAGCUAAUACCGCCUACAAUCUGCUGUGCCCAGAUGGGAUUAGCUAGUAGGUGUGGUAACGGCGCACCUAGGCGACGAUCCCUAGCUGGUCUGAGAGCACGACCAGCCACACUGGAACUGAGACACGGCCCAGACUCCUACGGGAGGCAGCAGUGGGGAAUAUUGGACAAUGGGCGAAAGCCUGAUGCAGCCAUGCCGCGUGUAUGAAGAAGGCCUUCGGGUUGUAAAGUACUUUUGGCGGGGAGGCGUUACUCGCAGAAGAAGCACCGGCUAACUACGUGCCAGCCGCCGCGGUAAUUC
rnacentral:rRNA from 1 species